CGCAGCCGUCCUGGGUGACGGAGCCCCGCCGCUGGCAGUCUUAGUUGGCCAAAAAACCCACCCAAACUCUUCCUCUGUUGUGUUUUCUUCGGAAGGAAUACGCAGAUUGCCAAGGUUUUAAACUCCUUGUUUGAAACGACUGGUACGAACGUACGCAGUGCGAGUUGAGCUGAAGUUUCCAGAGUUACCAAGAGCUUUCCUGCAAAAAGACAGGUGCAGUGAGAAAUAAUGAAACUCAAAAAGGAGGACUGAAUUAUAAACAACUUCUUCUCCUUCUCCUCUGGCUCACAAAGAUCACCAUCAGCUGGCUACCAAAUGACAUGACGUUCCUUCUCAUCCUCUGCUGACAUCCAAACUUACUGUGGAACAGCACCAGAGACUAGAAAAGUGGCAUCAAGGUCUGACCAGAGGCAGUGCAGAAAAU
rnacentral:lncRNA from 1 species